AUUACUGUUACUAUUACUUUUGUUAGAUCUCGUAAUCUCAUCUCCGUCUUCCGUCGGUGCUAAUAAUCCACCGCCUGACGAAUGAAGAUGCCAUAGCUCAGAGUUUUUGUUGUCAAUUUCUUGGAGUAACGAUUGAAGACAUUUAUGUUCAAAGGUGUACACUUUUACAAGCGUGAAUGUUUGACGUCAUACAAAAGGACGUUUAUUUUUUUCGCCUCUAAGGUUCUGUUUGAUUCAACUUAUUUUGUCUUAUCUUAUCUUAUUUUUUCUGAAAUGAGUGAAGAUAAGUUGAACAACA